GUGAUUUUCAAGUUAAAUGGGGGAUUUCCGAAGAGAAAACGCGUGAUUUUCGCUUAAAUGGGGGAUUUGAGAAAACGCGUGAUUUUCGCUUAAUGUUGGAUUCUCGAAGAGAAAAUGCGUGAUUUUCGCUUAAAUGGUGGAUUUCUGAAAAGAAAACGCGUGAUUUUCGGGUUAAAUGGAAGAUUCCUGAAGAGAAAAUGCGUGAUUUUUGCUUAAAUGGCGGAUUUGUGAAGAGAAAACGUGUGUUUUUCGCUUAAAUGGGGGAUUUGCAAAUUGAAAAUGUGCCAUUUUCGGGUUAAAUGGGGGAUUUGAGAAGAGAAAAUGCGUGUUUUUUGCGUUAAAUGGGGGAUUCUCGAAGAGAAAACGCAUGAUUUGCGGGUUAAAUGGGGGAUUCUCGAAGAGAGAACGCGUGAUUUUCGCUUAAUUGGAGGACUUGCGAAGAGAAAACGGAUGUUUUUAGGGUGAAAUGGGGGAUUCUCGAAGAGAAAAUAUGUGAUUUUUUCUUAAAUGGGGGAUUUGCAAAAAGAAAACGUGAUUUUCGCAUAAAUAUGGGAUUUGUGUAGAGAAAACGCGUGAUUUUUGCUUAAGUGGGGGAUUCGCGAAGUGAAGAACGAGUGAUUUUCGGGUUGAAUGGAGGUUUCUGGAAGAGAAAACGUGUGAUUUUCGCUUAAAUGGGGGAUUUGAGAAGAGAAAACGUGAUUUUCGCAUAAAUGGGGGAUUUCCAAAGAAAAAACGUGUGAUUUUCGCU
ensembl:lncRNA